rnacentral:rRNA from 1 species
CUGGCCUUGACAUGGUAGGAACCCUUAAGAGAUUAGGGGGUGCUAGCUUGCUAGAACCUACACACAGGUGCUGCACGGCUGUCGUCAGCUCGUGUCGUGAGAUGUUGGGUUAAGUCCCGCAACGAGCGCAACCCUCGUCUUUAGUUGCUAACAGUUAGGCUGAGCACUCUAAAGAGACUGCCUCCGUAAGGAGGAGGAAGGUGAGGACGACGUCAAGUCAUCAUGGCCCUUACGGCCAGGGCUACACACGUGCUACAAUGGGGCGUACAGAGAGCUGCAAUACCGCGAGGUGGAGCCAAUCUCUUAAAGCGUCUCUCAGUUCGGAUUGUUCUCUGCAACUCGAGAACAUGAAGCUGGAAUCACUAGUAAUCGUAGAUCAGCUAUGCUACGGUGAAUACGUUCC